CGCAGCCGCGGUAAUUCCAGCUCCAAUAGCGUAUAUUAAAGUUGUUGCAGUUAAAAGCUCGUAGUUGAAUUUCGGGAUCAGUUGGUCGGUCGUGCCUCGGUACGUACUGGUCAAAUUGAUUCCUACCUUCUGACGAACCACGAUGUCAUUAAUUUGGUGUCGCGGGAAAUCAGGACUGUUACUUUGAAAAAUUAGAGUGUUUAAAGCAGGCUCGCGCUUGAAUACAUUAGCAUGGAAUAAUGAAAUAGGACGUUUGAUUCUAUUUUGUUGGUUUCUAGGAUCGACGUAAUGAUUAAUAGGGAUAGUUGGGGGCAUUAGUAUUCAAUUGUCAGAGGUGAAAUUCUUGGAUUUAUUGAAGACUAACUACUGCGAAAGCAUUUGCCAAGGAUGUUUUCAUUAAUCAAGAACGAAAGUUAGGGAUCGAAGACGAUCAGAUACCGUCGUAGUCUUAACCAUAAACUAUGCCGACUAGGGAUCGGAUGAUGUUUAAUUUUUUAAUGUACUCUAUUCGGCGUCCUUA
rnacentral:misc_RNA from 1 species